UUGACUUUUAAAUGAAGUCUGGAAUGAAGGGAUUAACGGGGUUUAACUGUCUCAAAUAUUUUAUUAUGAAUUUACUAAUUAGGUGAAAAGGCCUAAAAAAGAAAAAAGACGAGAAGACCCUUAGAGUUUAUAUUUAUAAUUAUUUUGCUGGGGCGGCAUAGAAUCAGAAUAAACAUUCUUAAUAGGCAUAUGACGGAUUUUUCAUGAUUAGAUAAACUACCUGAGGGAUAACAGCAUAAUCUUUUAAGGUUUGUGACCUCGA
rnacentral:rRNA from 1 species